rnacentral:rRNA from 1 species
AAUCGUACCCCAAACCGACACAGGUGGUCAGGUAGAGAAUACCAAGGCGCUUGAGAGAACUCGGGUGAAGGAACUAGGCAAAAUGGUGCCGUAACUUCGGGAGAAGGCACGCUGACAUGUAGGUGAAGUGAUUUACUCAUGGAGCUGAAGUCAGUCGAAGAUACCAGCUGGCUGCAACUGUUUAUUAAAAACACAGCACUGUGCAAACACGAAAGUGGACGUAUACGGUGUGACGCCUGCCCGGUGCCGGAAGGUUAAUUGAUGGGGUCAGCGCAAGCGAAGCUCCUGAUCGAAGCCCCGGUAAACGGCGGCCGUAACUAUAACGGUCCUAAGGUAGCGAAAUUCCUUGUCGGGUAAGUUCCGACCUGCACGAAUGGCGUAAUGAUGGCCAGGCUGUCUCCACCCGAGACUCAGUGAAAUUGAACUCGCUGUGAAGAUGCAGUGUACCCGCGGCAAGACGGAAAGACCCCGUGAACCUUUACUAUAGCUUGACACUGAACAUUGAGCCUUGAUGUGUAGGAUAGGUGGGAGGCUUUGAAGUGUGGACGCCAGUCUGCAUGGAGCCGGCCUUGAAAUACCACCCUUUAAUGUUUGAUGUUCUAACGUGGACCCGUGAUCCGGGUUGCGGACAGUGUCUGGUGGGUAGUUUGACUGGGGCGGUCUCCUCCUAAAGAGUAACGGAGGAGCACGAAGGUUGGCUAAUCCUGGUCGGACAUCAGGAGGUUAGUGCAAUGGCAUAAGCCAGCUUGACUGCGAGCGUGACGGCGCGAGCAGGUGCGAAAGCAGGUCAUAGUGAUCCGGUGGUUCUGAAUGGAAGGGCCAUCGCUCAACGGAUAAAAGGUACUCCGGGGAUAACAGGCUGAUACCGCCCAAGAGUUCAUAUCGACGGCGGUGUUUGGCACCUCGAUGUCGGCUCAUCACAUCCUGGGGCUGAAGUAGGUCCCAAGGGUAUGGCUGUUCGCCAUUUAAAGUGGUACGCGAGCUGGGUUUAGAACGUCGUGAGACAGUUCGGUCCCUAUCUGCCGUGGGCGCUGGAGAACUGAGGGGGGCUGCUCCUAGUACGAGAGGACCGGAGUGGACGCAUCACUGGUGUUCGGGUUGUCAUGCCAAUGGCACUGCCCGGUAGCUAAAUGCGGAAGAGAUAAGUGCUGAAAGCAUCUAAGCACGAAACUUGCCCCGAGAUGAGUUCUCCCUGAGACUUUAGGUCUCCUGAAGGAACGUUGAAGACGACGACGUUGAUAGGCCGGGUGUGUAAGCGCAGCGAUGCGUUGAGCUAACCGGUACUAAUGAACCGUGAGGCUUAACC